GACGAACGCUGGCGGCGUGCCUAACACAUGCAAGUCGAGCGAGAUUAUCUUCGGAUAGUCUAGCGGCGGACGGGUGAGUAACACGUGGGUAACCUGCCUCAUAGAGGGGGAUAGCCUCCCGAAAGGGAGAUUAAUACCGCAUAAUUUGUCUCUGGCGCAUGCCAGAGUCAGUAAAGGAGUAAUCCGCUAUGAGAUGGACCCGCGGCGCAUUAGCUAGUUGGUGAGGUAACGGCUCACCAAGGCGACGAUGCGUAGCCGACCUGAGAGGGUGAUCGGCCACAUUGGAACUGAGAAACGGUCCAGACUCCUACGGGAGGCAGCAGUGGGGAAUAUUGCACAAUGGGCGAAAGCCUGAUGCAGCAACGCCGCGUGAGUGAUGAAGUACUUCGGUAUGUAAAGCUCUGUCUUUGGGGACGAUAAUGACGGUACCCAAGGAGGAAGCCACGGCUAACUACGUGCCAGCAGCCGCGGUAAUACGUAGGUGGCGAGCGUUGUCCGGAAUUACUGGGCGUAAAGGAUGCGUAGGUGGACUUUUAAGUCAGAUGUGAAAUCCCCGGGCUUAACCUGGGGGCUGCAUUUGAAACUGGAGGUCUAGAGUGCAGGAGAGGUAAGUGGAGUUCCUAGUGUAGCGGUGAAAUGCGUAGAUAUUAGGAAGAACACCAGUGGCGAAGGCGACUUACUGGACUGUAACUGACACUGAGGCAUGAAAGCGUGGGGAGCAAACAGGAUUAGAUACCCUGGUAGUCCACGCUGUAAACGAUGGGUACUAGGUGUGGGAGGUAUCGACUCCUUCCGUGCCGCCGUUAACACAAUAAGUACCCCGCCUGGGGAGUACGGUCGCAAGAUUA
rnacentral:rRNA from 1 species